GAGGGGCGGAUGUAGCCAAGUGGAUCAAGGCAGUGGAUUGUGAAUC
rnacentral:tRNA from 2 species